rnacentral:rRNA from 1 species
UACGGGGGGGGGCAAGCGUUGUUCGGAAUUACUGGGCGUAAAGGGCUCGUAGGCGGCCAACUAAGUCAGACGUGAAAUCCCUCGGCUUAACCGGGGAACUGCGUCUGAUACUGGAUGGCUUGAGUUCGGGAGAGGGAUGCGGAAUUCCAGGUGUAGCGGUGGAAAUGCGUAGAUAUCUGGAGGAACACCGGUGGCGAAGGCGGCAUCCUGGACCGA